GGUUGAUCCUUUGCUGGGAAUAUACGUGCAGUGUCCUGGAAAGAACAUGAACUUUGGAGUCUGAGAUAGCCUAAUUUGAGCCCUGCUCUAACAUAUGAAAACCAUGUAACCUUGGGACUCGUUGUUUCUCCCUCUCCCAGAGUGACCAGCAUUUCCCUGAGUGGCUCAGCUACCAAGAAGGAAACUGUGACCAAACUGGGUGGACCUCGGAAAGCAGGUUUUGAGAUGCUGAGGACAUCAGCAUUAACUUAGGUCUGAUCACUGUGAUAAAGGAUCUCCAAGUUCUAACAACCCUAAUAUUCUGCAUAGUCUCUGCAAAAUCCAGUUGAUGAGAGCCUUUCCCUUUCUGUGAUGUAAUCAUCAUGGUAUGACCUAAAAAAACAAAUGAAGUAUUUCUAACAGAAUGUUCCCCUAUACUUGGGGCCAGGACCUUGCCAUGUUCCAUCAAGACGAUUGACGAGGCUCUAGUACAAUUAGACCUGCCACACAUGCAAAGCAACGUCAGACCAGCAUUCUGAAUAUAAAUUGUUCAUUGAAAGACAAGCGCAUCAGGGAAACUUGGAGGUUUUAUUGUUGUUGUUUUUUUUUUGUUUGUUUGUUUUUUUGAGACAGAGUCUCACUCUGUCACCCAGGAUGGAGUGCAGUGGUGUGAUCUUGGCUCACUACAACCUCUAACACCAGGGUUCAAGCGAUUCUCCUGCCUCAGCCUCCCAAGUAGCUGGGAUUACAGGCACCUGCCACCACACCUGGCUAAUUUUUGUAUCUUUAGUGGAGACAGGGUUUCACCGUGUUGGCCAGGCUGGGCUCGAACUCCUGACCUCAGGUGAUCCACCCUUCUCGGCUUCCCAAAGUGCUGGGAUUACACGUGUGAGCCACCAUGCCCGGCUGGAAACUUGGAGUUUUGUGAAGCAGUUCGGCAGAGACAUAUUUUAUAGAUAAAAUACAGGUGGGCAUUC